rnacentral:tRNA from 1 species
GCGGGAGUCGGAUAGCGGUCAAUUCCACCAGCUUGAGGGGCUGGCACCUUAGUGGUUUACGGCAGUUCGAAUCUGCCCUCCCGCA